AGUGAACGCUGGCGGCGUGCCUAAUACAUGCAAGUCGAACGGAAUUUAAGAGGGCUUGCUCUUUUAAAUUUAGUGGCGCACGGGUGAGUAAUAUAUAGCUAAUCUGCCCUUUGCUGGAGGACAACAGUUAGAAAUGACUGCUAAUACUCCAUACUCCUUUUUACCAUAAGAUAAAUCGGGAAAGAAUUUCGGCAAGGGAUGAGACUAUAUCGUAUCAGCUAGUCGGUGGGGUAACGGCCUACCGAGGCUAUGACGCGUAACUGGUCUGAGAGGAUGAUCAGUCACAUUGGAACUGAGACACGGUCCAAACUCCUACGGGAGGCAGCAGUAGGGAAUAUUGCGCAAUGGGGGAAACCCUGACGCAGCAACGCCGCGUGGAGGAUGACACUUUUCGGAGCGUAAACUCCUUUUGUUAGGGAAGAAUAANGA
rnacentral:rRNA from 1 species